CGAUAAGGGUAUACGGUGGAUGCCUUGGCACAAAAAGCCGACGAAGGACGCAGGAGCCGGCGAUACGCCUCGGGGAGCUGGCAAACAAGCUUUGAUCCGGGGAUGUCCGAAUGGGGAAACCUUAGCAAGUAAACCUUGCUAGCAUUCGUACGUGGUGUACGAGUAGCGGGAACCAUGCGAAGUGAAACAUCUCAGUAGCAUGUGGAAAAGAAAACUAAUGACUAGCUUUUUAUCUCAAGGCUGAUUCCAUGAAGCCUUGAGAUUAGAGAGCUAGUUGCAUUCCCCUAGUAGUGGCGAGCGAAAGGGGAACAGUCCAAACCAUAUUCAUGUUAGAAAUGUAGUCUCUAAUUUAUUAGUGGUUGCGUUUCUUUUAAAGGUUACAGCCGUUGUGAGUAUGGCGUUGCAAGACUAAUCGAUCGCUUCUGUAAAAGCGAGGGAAAAACGUGUUGUGUUGUCUAGUAGAACACGCCUGGAAAGGCGGACCAAAGAGGGUGAUAGUCCCGUACGCGAAAGACCACAAUUAUUUCCUGAUUGGUUCUUAAGUACGGCCGGACACGUGAAAGCCGGUCGGAAACUGGGUCGACUACGAUCUAAGACUAAAUACUUUUUGUGACCGAUAGUGAACAAGUACCGUGAGGGAAAGGUGAAAAGCAGCCCGGUGAGGGCGAUGAAAUAGUAUCUGAAACCGUAUAUCUACAAGGAGCGGAACACCGCAAGGUGAACCGCGUGCCUAUUGAAGAAUGACCCGACGAGUUAACGUAUGCUGCUUGUUUAAGUCUCUUUUGAGACGAAGACAUAGUGAAAGCGAGGGUUAAUAGCCCGUAUUAAUCAAAAAAUCAAUUUUUUGAUUAAAGGUGGCAUGCGUUAGACCCGAAACCCGGUGAGCUACUCAUGGUCAGGAUGAACUCAAGGUAAAACUUGGGGGAGGUCCGAACCCACUAUUGUUGCAAAAAUAGGGGAUGAACUGUGAGUAGGGGAGAAAUUCCAAUCGAACUGGGUGAUAGCUGGUUCUCCUCGAAAUA
rnacentral:rRNA from 1 species